rnacentral:rRNA from 1 species
CACGCAGGCGGUCUGUUAAGUCAGAUGUGAAAUCCCCGGGCUCAACCUGGGAACUGCAUUUGAAACUGGCAGGCUUGAGUCUUGUAGAGGGGGGUAGAAUUCCAGGUGUAGCGGUGAAAUGCGUAGAGAUCUGGAGGAAUACCGGUGGCGAAGGCGGCCCCCUGGACAAAGACUGACGCUCAGGUGCGAAAGCGUGGGGAGCAAACA